rnacentral:lncRNA from 1 species
CCCCGGCACAGCCGCAGGUGCCCCCGGCCGGCCUCGCGCGGGCCCAGCGGCCGCAGCACCUCGCCGACGGCCCGGGGCCAGGGCUCCCAGGCGCCGGCCCUCAGCUCCAGCUCCCAGCCGGCCUCCGGCCCCCGGGCCCGGGCCCCCGGCCCUCAGCCGCGGCACUUACCGCGCGGGUGCGGCCCGAACGCCACCAGCACGAAGUAGUCCGCGAGCCGCGCCAUGGCGAGGGGCGCGGGGCGGACCCAGGGGCGCGGGCGGGCUCCGCGGCUCGGGGACUCGAGGGCAGCGCGCUCAUGGCCCGGCCCCGGCUCUGGACCGCGCACCCCGGAUACCCCGGGCCCGCUCCGCGGCGGCAGCGGUGGCCAGGACUUCCGCCGCCAUCUUCCCAGCCAGCCGGCCCGCCCGGCCACGCCGUGCGCCUGCGCACCCUCGGCCCGCCCCCCCCAGUGGGCGGGGCGCGAGACAACAAACGCCAUUGGUCGACCAUUCGUGGGGGCGGAUCCCGGAAGCGAUGGCCCGCCCAUCGUCUCCCGCCCCGGGGCCUCGGUGCAGACCCUCCGACCGGUCAGCGGCCCUGGUUGAGCCCCCCGUUGGGAGGCGCUUCAGGCUGAGGGAAGGCGGGAGGGACGUGGGCCCGGCCGGAGGACGGAGGAGGCCGAGGCCGUCACCUCAGGGGGGCACCCAAGCCCCACCUUUGGGGGCUCUGGGUUCGAGAAAGGCUGGGCCUGCCCUUGGGGGUCCCCGCGGAGGCGAGGGAGAUCCAAACACCCGGCCCAGGGACACCCGCCGCCCCCAAGUGCUGGGGCUGGUCAGGCCCUCCCCAGCAGCGGCCCAGCGAUGGUCAAGGGAGACAUGGCCCUCAAGGGCAGGGUGCCUGCAAGGAGCUGGCUCUGCGGAAGCUGAUGGCAGCCAUGUCCCAUCUGCCCCAGGAGUGGCCAGAGAGAAUGAGAGACAGAGAGAGGUCGUCCAUCCACUGUUCCAUCCACUGAUCCACUCUCCAGAUGGCUGCAACAGCCAGAGCCGAGCUGAUCCGAAGCUGGGAACUUCCUCUGGGUCUCCCACGCAGAUUUAGGGCCCCAAGUACUUGGGCCAUCUUCCACCGCUUUCCCAGAGCAGAAGCAGAGAGCUGGAUCGGAAGAGGAGCAGCUGGGACUAGAACUGGCGCCCACAGGGGAUGCCAGCGCCACAGACGGAGGCUCAGCCCACUGCAGGGUCACAGCGCCGGCCCCUCUGGCCCCCAUCUGGCCAAACUCCAGGGCCAUCCACACCCCUCACCUGCCGCUCACCAUACAGGGUGAGUGGCCUGUGGUGACACCCACUGCCCAGCCUGCUGCUGUCUGGGCAGCUGUCUCCAGUCCGCAGCUCUUCCAGCUGCUGCCCCUUCCUCACAUAGAAACAGAAGCCACCAGGUGGGAGACCCCCAGCCGGCAUCCCCCCCACCACGUACCCACAGAGCCUCUGCCUGCUGCUGGCCGGCCAUGCCCUCACCACACCCUCUCUUCCUCCUUCUGGCUCCAGCUUCAUCUCGGCUCUCAAAACCUCCCUUGGCGGUCGCCACGCUCGCUGUCUGCUGCACUCCCACUUCUCUAAAGCUCUCCCCACUGCCGUCAGCACACCCAGCCCUCCCGCAGCCCGGGCCUGGCUGGCCUGCCUUUCACCCGUCUCCGCCGUGGACACUGCUCCAGGGCAGCCGCCCCAUCGCGCCCCAGGGGCAGCUCCUCAACUGAGGAAGAACGGAGGCCCAGGGCCUCCCCUUGAAGAGUGUGGGGACACUUCUGUGGGCUCGCCAGUGGGAGAGGCAGCCAGGCUGAUGCCUGAGGGUCAGAGGACCCCCCCAGCGCCGUCAACCGUGGGCUCUGGGCAAUGGGACCACGGUCUGAUGGAGGUAGUGAUUGUUCAGUCGUCCCAGGGUCUGAAAGAAAGAAGGCAGUGGGCUUCUGGCCCGCCCACCCCCAGACCUACCACCACCUGUCCCAGAUUAAAACGUCCCUACUGGCAAGGUGGACAAACCAUGUUUGUGUCUGGAACGAUGGUGCUUCCACAGUGUGGAAGAUGACACUGCAGGACGAGUG